AAACACACCAGACUACUACUCGCUUCCCCCUAGGGUUCUUCAACACUCCAACACUCUCACUUCUCUCUGCGUUUCGUAUCUUCAACAUCCAGACAAACCCUAUAAUCUCUGAAUUCCGCAUCUUCUUCAACAUCCACAGACGCGAUUUCACGAUUUCACUCACGAAAAGGUUAUACACUAAUAGUUAUCAGAAAUCACUGGAUUCGAUAUGGAUUCAAGAAAAAACGCUCAUUCAUUCAUAGCAUUUCUUGAUAAAGAAGAGCCUAUCUUAAUGGAGAUACCAAGUGAUUUUGCUUAUAAUCUGUGGGGCGAUAAAAUACCAUAUUAUAAAACUGUUGAAAUAAGAGAUGGUGAAAAACUGAGAAAGAUGCGUAUUAGAAAAAAAAAUGAUGGGCCGGUAUUUACAGAUGGAC